AGACUGUGAUAAAUUCCUUUAAUUCUGGACACCAUGUAUGAAACAGCAUGCAUAUUCUGAUUACUUUGCAGAACUGAGGCCU
ensembl:snoRNA